ACUAAUACCCAAUGAUAUCUCUAGAAGACAUCUGAAGGAGAUUAAAGAUUUAUCGGUGAUGGAUGGGGAUGCGUCUGAUUAGCUUGUUGGCGGGGUAACGGCCCACCAAGGCGACGAUCAGUAGGGGUUCUGAGAGGAAGGUCCCCCACAUUGGAACUGAGACACGGUCCAAACUCCUACGGGAGGCAGCAGUGAGGAAUAUUGGUCAAUGGACGAGAGUCUGAACCAGCCAAGUAGCGUGCAGGAUGACGGCCCUAUGGGUUGUAAACUGCUUUUAUAAGGGAAUAAAGUGAGUCUCGUGAGACUUUUUGCAUGUACCUUAUGAAUAAGGACCGGCUAAUUCCGUGCCAGCAGCCGCGGUAAUACGGAAGGUCCGGGCGUUAUCCGGAUUUAUUGGGUUUAAAGGGAGCGUAGGCCGGAGAUUAAGCGUGUUGUGAAAUGUAGAUGCUCAACAUCUGCACUGCAGCGCGAACUGGUUUCCUUGAGUACGCACAAAGUGGGCGGAAUUCGUGGUGUAGCGGUGAAAUGCUUAGAUAUCACGAAGAACUCCGAUUGCGAAGGCAGCUCACUGGAGCGCAACUGACGCUGAAGCUCGAAAGUGCGGGUAUCGAACAGGAUUAGAUACCCUGGUAGUCCGCACGGUAAACGAUGGAUGCCCGCUGUUGGUCUGAAUAGGUCAGCGGCCAAGCGAAAGCAUUAAGCAUCCCACCUGGGGAGU
rnacentral:rRNA from 1 species